rnacentral:rRNA from 1 species
CCACGCCGUAAACGAUGUCGAUUAGAAGCUUGAGCAAUAGUUUGGGUUUCGCAGCUAACGCGAUAAAUCGACCGCCUGGGGAGUACGGCCGCAAGGUUAAAACUCAAAUGAAUUGACGGGGGCCCGCACAAGCGGUGGAGCAUGUGGUUUAAUUCGAAGCAACGCGAAGAACCUUACCUGAUCUUGACAUCGUAGGAAGGGACUGGAAGCAGUCUUGUGCCUUUGGGAGCCUACAGACAGGUGCUGCAUGGCUGU